rnacentral:lncRNA from 1 species
UGCCUCAACCUAAUAAAUCUUAUGACUCUUUACAAGGAUUGCCCUGGUCAAGGUCUUACUAAAUUGAGACAUAAAAUAUUCUCUCCAAUUUUUUAGAGUGAUCUAUUUUAUCUUGAUUCACGCAUCGACUUCGCAAGUAUGUGACUGUGCCCAGAAAUCUUUCGAUUAUAAAUUAAAAAUUCAGAUAGUCCAACAUCAAAAUACAGUGAGUUGCUUGCAAGUCACCAUGAUGAUCUUAGGUCGGAGGGACACUUAUAUCUAUAUCCCUUCAGAGUGACUCUUGAUAGUAGAGUGCUC